GUGACACAGACAGCUCUGUGCGUUGUUUAGUGUACAGUGCGCUAUAGUUAAGCACUUCAGAAAGCUGCCAGAGUGACAGUCCCGUAAAACAUCAGACCAGCUACCAGAGAUAUACAGAAGUUACCUGAGUGUGGAAGAGAUGAAGUUCGCGAGGACGAGGAUUAGGAUAAAUCGUGGGAGAAAGUUACAGUAUGCUUGGAGCAAAUUGGCUGAGUGUCAACAUACAGUGCAGGCUCAUUUUGAAAUUAUAAAACAAAGGCAUAUUUAUAGAUUAAGAAGGAAACAAAAUACGGAAAUACUGCAGAAGGUACAAGUCUCUCACUUUAAGCCAUUUAUUGCCAAAACAAAAACCAUUUCUGCAGGCUUUACUUAGACCAUAAUACAACUUUACUCUUAUAAUAAAUUUUCCAAGUUAAACAUAUGCUGUGUAACAGCUGCCCUUAAUUUUUACAAUUUUUUAUUUUAUUUGGAAUUAAUUUUCUGUAAGCUCUUUUAUUUUAAACAGGUACAGUUAAAUGCUUGUUUUCCCUGGUGUUUUUCAUAUACCUGCCUAAACACAUUGAAGGUGAAGAUACAAGGACGAAGAACUCAAGCAAAACUGAGACAUGUACAUCAUGGUCAGCUGAGACAAACUACUUGCUGUAAUUUAACCCUGAGCUCCAUCUGCUGGUGGAACUGAAGAGUCGCAUAGUGUAGGGGAG